CUGGGUUUUUUUGUCAUUAUCAUUAGUCAUACACUUCAUAGAAUCAUAGAAUGGUUUGGGUUGGAAGGAACCAUAAAGACCACCUAAUUCCAACCCCGCUGCCAUGGGCAUUGACACCUUCCUCUAGAC